rnacentral:piRNA from 1 species
UACAACUAAUUGAUCACAACCAGUU